GCUCAGAGGUCGGAGUAUCGCUGGGAGGAGAGUUGGUUCAUUUGGAGGAGGGAAUGCGACUCUGAGCGGGCCAAGCCCUAGUGGGUCAGAGUAGGAUUCUGAUGGAAUUUGCGGUCUCACCGCCUACUAGGGAGGAAAAGCAGUUUUCAGGAGUCCCGCACCGCCGCCAGCCGUGGGCUGGGACUACAAGUCACGGUCUGUGGAGUCCAGGAGUGGGGGCGGGCGGGAGGCAGGCUGGGAGCUGUAGUAGUGUCACCGCCACGUUCGCAGCAGGUAGAUGCUCAUCUUGCUAACGGAUUGGUGAGAGUGGACAGCAAUUAGGCUUUGGCACCUUGGAGCGUGGCUCCAGCUAAGGGAAGCGAAACGCUUCCUGGGUGAGAGGACUUUUAUUCUUUGCUCAUCCUCUUAAACCUGGCGAGUGAGCGCCUGAGGUUCGGAGUGCCUUCUUCACAGACGACGCGAAUGUGGGGUCUUCGUGUUUGCCGAACUGAAGGGAAUUUGCCUUCCUGCCUUUAGGUUCGCAGCAGUUCAUAACUGAAUAAGAGACUUUCCUCCAUAGAAUGGACUUUAUAAAUCUAUUAAUUUUUUUUUUUUUUUUUUUUUAGAGCUAAGGUCUUGCUCUAUCUCCCAUGCCAAAGUGCAGUGCUAUGAUCACGGCUCGCUGCAGCCUUGAACUCCUGGGCUCAAGGCAUCCUCCUGCCUCACUACGUCACCAAGCCCAGCUAAUACAUUUUAAAAAUUUAUUAUUUAUUUAUUUAUUUAUUUUUGGUAGAGAAGGGGGUCUCACCAGGUUGCCCAGGCUGAUCUCGAAUUCCUGUGCACUAGGGAUCCUCAGCUUCCGAAAGUGUUGGGAUUUUAGGCGUGAGCCACCGCGCCUAGCCUAUAAAUCUUUAUUCAUCUUUGUAAACUUCUAUCAGAGAAUAUAUUCUGGUCUAACUCAUCAUUUUACAAAUAAAGCGACUUCCUGACAUCCCCCAGCGUAUUCUUAGCAGAGCCGUAACUAGAAGUUAUUUUACUUUCACAACAGUGGCCUCUCACAAUGUGACAGAACUGAAGGAUUUGAUCCAUGAACUGACUUUCGUCAUUUAUACCCACAAACCUUUUUUUACAGAGCAGAUUGGUCAGCGAAUUUGGUUAUAAUAGGAAAUAUCAGUGGUAGAAUACUUUCUCAGAUGAAAGUUAGGAGCACUAUGGAAUUUAGUGAAAAACUCAUUGAAGAAAAUAGGUGUAGGCCGGGCGCGGUGGCUCACGCCUGUAAUCCCAGCACUUUGGGAGGCCGAGAUGGGAGGAUCACCUGAACCCGGGAGGCGGAGGUUGCAGUGAGCUGUGAUCACACCAUUGCACCCCAACCUGGGCGACGGGAGUGAGGCCCUGUCUCAAAAAAAAAAAAAAGAAAAGAAAAUAGGUGUAACAGGAUAUAGUUUAUUUACUUCUUCAAAAAAAGGAAAAUAUUUCUGUUAAAAUAAUCCAACUAAUACAUCCACUCCAGAAAUAUGCACUUCAGACCAGGUGCAGUGGCUCACACCUGUAAUCCUAGCACUUCGGGAGGCCGAGUUGGGUGGAUCACUUGAGGUCAGGAGUUCGAGACCAACCUGGCCGAUAUGGUGAAACCCUGUCUCUGCUAAAAAUACAAAGCCGGGUGUGGUGGUGCACGCCUGUAGUCCCAGGUACUCCAGAGGCUGAGGCAGAAGAAUCGCCUGAACCUGAGAGGCGGAGAUUGCAGUGAGCCGAGGUCGUGCCACCACACUCCAGCCUGGGUGAAAGAGCGAGAGUCUGUCUCAAAAAAUAAAAAUAAAAAGGCCAGGCGCGAUGGUUCACACCUGUAAUCCCAACCCUUUGGGAGGCCGAGGCGGGCGGAUCACCUGAGGUCAGGAGUUCAAGACCAGCCUGGCCAAUAUGGUGAAACCAACCCCGUCUUUACUAAAAAUACAAAAAAUUAGCCGGGCGUGGUGACGCAUGCCUGUAAUCCCAGCUAGUCAGGAGGCUGAGGCAGGAGAAUUGCUUGAACCCAGGAGGCGGAGGUUGCAUUGAG
rnacentral:lncRNA from 10 species